GAUGAACGCUGGCGGCGUGCCUAAUACAUGCAAGUCGAGCGAACAGACGAGGAGCUUGCUCCUCUGACGUUAGCGGCGGACGGGUGAGUAACACGUGGAUAACCUACCUAUAAGACUGGGAUAACUUCGGGAAACCGGAGCUAAUACCGGAUAAUAUAUUGAACCGCAUGGUUCAAUAGUGAAAGACGGUUUUGCUGUCACUUAUAGAUGGAUCCGCGCCGCAUUAGCUAGUUGGGAAGGUAACGGCUUACCAAGGCAACGAUGCGUAGCCGACCUGAGAGGGUGAUCGGCCACACUGGAAGUGAGCCACGGUCCAGACUACUACGGGAGGCAGCAGUAGGGAAUCUUCCGCAAUGGGCGAAAGCCUGACGGAGCAGCGCCGCGUGAGUGAUGAAGGUCUUCGGAUCGUAAAACUCUGUUAUGAGGGAAGAACAAAUGUGUAAGUAACUAUGCACGUCUUGACGGUACCUAAUCAGAAAGCCACGGCUAACUACGUG
rnacentral:rRNA from 1 species